AGAAUGAACGCUGGCGGCAUGCCUAACACAUGCAAGUCGAACGAAGGCUUCGGCCUUAGUGGCGCACGGGUGCGUAACGCGUGGGAAUCUACCCUUAGGUUCGGAAUAACAGUUGGAAACGACUGCUAAUACCGGAUGAUGACGUAAGUCCAAAGAUUUAUCGCCUAGGGAUGAGCCCGCGUAGGAUUAGCUAGUUGGUGUGGUAAAGGCGCACCAAGGCGACGAUCCUUAGCUGGUCUGAGAGGAUGAUCAGCCACACUGGGACUGAGACACGGCCCAGACUCCUACGGGAGGCAGCAGUGGGGAAUAUUGGACAAUGGGCGAAAGCCUGAUCCAGCAAUGCCGCGUGAGUGAAGAAGGCCUUCGGGUUGUAAAGCACUUUAUCGGGAACGAAAUACCACGGGUUAAUACCCUAUGGGCUGACGGUACUGAGAUAGCACGCUACUCGUGCCAGCAGCCGCGGUAA
rnacentral:rRNA from 1 species